rnacentral:rRNA from 1 species
GGGUUGUGAGGUUAAGCGACUAAGCGUACACGGUGGAUGCCCUGGCAGUCAGAGGCGAUGAAGGACGUGCUAAUCUGCGAUAAGCGUCGGUGAGGUGAUAUGAACCGUUAUAACCGGCGAUUUCCGAAUGGGGAAACCCAGUGUGUUUCGACACACUAUCAUUAACUGAAUCCAUAGGUUAAUGAGGCGAACCGGGGGAACUGAAACAUCUAAGUACCCCGAGGAAAAGAAAUCAACCGAGAUUCCCCCAGUAGCGGCGAGCGAACGGGGAGGAGCCCAGAGCCUGAAUCAGUGUGUGUGUUAGUGGAAGCGUCUGGAAAGGCGCGCGAUACAGGGUGACAGCCCCGUACACAAAAAUGCACAUAUUGUGAGCUCGAUGAGUAGGGCGGGACACGUGGUAUCCUGUCUGAAUAUGGGGGGACCAUCCUCCAAGGCUAAAUACUCCUGACUGACCGAUAGUGAACCAGUACCGUGAGGGAAAGGCGAAAAGAACCCCGGCGAGGGGAGUGAAAAAGAACCUGAAACCGUGUACGUACAAGCAGUGGGAGCCUCUUAAUGGGGUGACUGCGUACCUUUUGUAUAAUGGGUCAGCGACUUAUAUUCUGUAGCAAGGUUAACCGAAUAGGGGAGCCGAAGGGAAACCGAGUCUUAACUGGGCGUUAAGUUGCAGGGUAUAGACCCGAAACCCGGUGAUCUAGCCAUGGGCAGGUUGAAGGUUGGGUAACACUAACUGGAGGACCGAACCGACUAAUGUUGAAAAAUUAGCGGAUGACUUGUGGCUGGGGGUGAAAGGCCAAUCAAACCGGGAGAUAGCUGGUUCUCCCCGAAAGCUAUUUAGGUAGCGCCUCGUGAAUUCAUCUCCGGGGGUAGAGCACUGUUUCGGCAAGGGGGUCAUCCCGACUUACCAACCCGAUGCAAACUGCGAAUACCGGAGAAUGUUAUCACGGGAGACACACGGCGGGUGCUAACGUCCGUCGUGAAGAGGGAAACAACCCAGACCGCCAGCUAAGGUCCCAAAGUCAUGGUUAAGUGGGAAACGAUGUGGGAAGGCCCAGACAGCCAGGAUGUUGGCUUAGAAGCAGCCAUCAUUUAAAGAAAGCGUAAUAGCUCACUGGUCGAGUCGGCCUGCGCGGAAGAUGUAACGGGGCUAAACCAUGCACCGAAGCUGCGGCAGCGACGCUUAUGCGUUGUUGGGUAGGGGAGCGUUCUGUAAGCCUGCGAAGGUGUGCUGUGAGGCAUGCUGGAGGUAUCAGAAGUGCGAAUGCUGACAUAAGUAACGAUAAAGCGGGUGAAAAGCCCGCUCGCCGGAAGACCAAGGGUUCCUGUCCAACGUUAAUCGGGGCAGGGUGAGUCGACCCCUAAGGCGAGGCCGAAAGGCGUAGUCGAUGGGAAACAGGUUAAUAUUCCUGUACUUGGUGUUACUGCGAAGGGGGGACGGAGAAGGCUAUGUUGGCCGGGCGACGGUUGUCCCGGUUUAAGCGUGUAGGCUGGUUUUCCAGGCAAAUCCGGAAAACCAAGGCUGAGGCGUGAUGACGAGGCACUACGGUGCUGAAGUGACAAAUGCCCUGCUUCCAGGAAAAGCCUCUAAGCAUCAGGUAACAUCAAAUCGUACCCCAAACCGACACAGGUGGUCAGGUAGAGAAUACCAAGGCGCUUGAGAGAACUCGGGUGAAGGAACUAGGCAAAAUGGUGCCGUAACUUCGGGAGAAGGCACGCUGAUAUGUAGGUGAAGCGACUUGCUCGUGGAGCUGAAAUCAGUCGAAGAUACCAGCUGGCUGCAACUGUUUAUUAAAAACACAGCACUGUGCAAACACGAAAGUGGACGUAUACGGUGUGACGCCUGCCCGGUGCCGGAAGGUUAAUUGAUGGGGUUAGCGGUAACGCGAAGCUCUUGAUCGAAGCCCCGGUAAACGGCGGCCGUAACUAUAACGGUCCUAAGGUAGCGAAAUUCCUUGUCGGGUAAGUUCCGACCUGCACGAAUGGCGUAAUGAUGGCCAGGCUGUCUCCACCCGAGACUCAGUGAAAUUGAACUCGCUGUGAAGAUGCAGUGUACCCGCGGCAAGACGGAAAGACCCCGUGAACCUUUACUAUAGCUUGACACUGAACAUUGAGCCUUGAUGUGUAGGAUAGGUGGGAGGCUUUGAAGUGUGGACGCCAGUCUGCAUGGAGCCGACCUUGAAAUACCACCCUUUAAUGUUUGAUGUUCUAACGUUGGCCCGUAAUCCGGGUUGCGGACAGUGUCUGGUGGGUAGUUUGACUGGGGCGGUCUCCUCCUAAAGAGUAACGGAGGAGCACGAAGGUUGGCUAAUCCUGGUCGGACAUCAGGAGGUUAGUGCAAUGGCAUAAGCCAGCUUGACUGCGAGCGUGACGGCGCGAGCAGGUGCGAAAGCAGGUCAUAGUGAUCCGGUGGUUCUGAAUGGAAGGGCCAUCGCUCAACGGAUAAAAGGUACUCCGGGGAUAACAGGCUGAUACCGCCCAAGAGUUCAUAUCGACGGCGGUGUUUGGCACCUCGAUGUCGGCUCAUCACAUCCUGGGGCUGAAGUAGGUCCCAAGGGUAUGGCUGUUCGCCAUUUAAAGUGGUACGCGAGCUGGGUUUAGAACGUCGUGAGACAGUUCGGUCCCUAUCUGCCGUGGGCGCUGGAGAACUGAGGGGGGCUGCUCCUAGUACGAGAGGACCGGAGUGGACGCAUCACUGGUGUUCGGGUUGUCAUGCCAAUGGCACUGCCCGGUAGCUAAAUGCGGAAGAGAUAAGUGCUGAAAGCAUCUAAGCACGAAACUUGCCCCGAGAUGAGUUCUCCCUGAGACUUUAAGUCUCCUGAAGGAACGUUGAAGACGACGACGUUGAUAGGCCGGGUGUGUAAGCGCAGCGAUGCGUUGAGCUAACCGGUACUAAUGAACCGUGAGGCUUAACCUUACAACGCCGAAGGUGUUU